CCUACGGGGGGCAGCAGUGGGGAAUAUUGCACAAUGGGGGAAACCCUGAUGCAGCAACGCCGCGUGAGUGAUGACGGUCUUCGGAUUGUAAAGCUCUGUCUUUGGGGACGAUAAUGACGGUACCCAAGGAGGAAGCCACGGCUAACUACGUGCCAGCAGCCGCGGUAAUACGUAGGUGGCAAGCGUUGUCCGGAUUUACUGGGCGUAAAGGGAGCGUAGGCGGAUUUUUAAGUGGGAUGUGAAAUACCCGGGCUCAACCUGGGUGCUGCAUUCCAAACUGGGAAUCUAGAGUGCAGGAGGGGAGAGUGGAAUUCCUAGUGUAGCGGUGAAAUGCGUAGAGAUUAGGAAGAACACCAGUGGCGAAGGCGACUCUCUGGACUGUAACUGACGCUGAGGCUCGAAAGCGUGGGGAGCAAACAGGAUUAGAUACCCCCGUAGUC
rnacentral:rRNA from 1 species